rnacentral:rRNA from 1 species
GAUGAACGCUAGCGGCAGGCUUAACACAUGCAAGUCGAGGGGCAUCGGGAGGGAAGCUUGCUUUCCUUGCCGGCGACCGGCGCACGGGUGAGUAACACGUAUGCAACCUGCCCUCUUCAGGGGGACAACCUUCCGAAAGGGAGGCUAAUCCCGCGUAUAUCGGUUUCGGGCAUCCGAGAUCGAGGAAAGAUUCAUCGGAAGAGGAUGGGCAUGCGGCGCAUUAGCUUGACGGCGGGGUAACGGCCCACCGUGGCGACGAUGCGUAGGGGUUCUGAGAGGAAGGUCCCCCACACUGGUACUGAGACACGGACCAGACUCCUACGGGAGGCAGCAGUGAGGAAUAUUGGUCAAUGGGAGAGAUCCUGAACCAGCCAAGCCGCGUGAGGGAAGACGGCCCUAUGGGUUGUAAACCUCUUUUGUCGGAGAACAAAACCCGGGACGUGUCCCGGACUGCGUGUAUCCGAAGAAAAAGCAUCGGCUAACUCCGUGCCAGCAGCCGCGGUAAUACGGAGGAUGCGAGCGUUAUCCGGAUUUAUUGGGUUUAAAGGGUGCGUAGGCGGUCCGUUAAGUCAGCGGUAAAAUUGCGGAGCUCAACCCCGUCGAGCCGUUGAAACUGGCAGACUUGAGUUGGCGAGAAGUACGCGGAAUGCGCGGUGUAGCGGUGAAAUGCAUAGAUAUCGCGCAGAACUCCGAUUGCGAAGGCAGCGUACCGGCGCCAGACUGACGCUGAGGCACGAAAGCGUGGGGAUCGAACAGGAUUAGAUACCCUGGUAGUCCACGCAGUAAACGAUGAAUGCUGGUUGUCCGGGUCGAAUGAGACCUGGGCGGCGAAGCGAAAGCGAUAAGCAUUCCACCUGGGGAGUACGCCGGCAACGGUGAAACUCAAAGGAAUUGACGGGGGCCCGCACAAGCGGAGGAACAUGUGGUUUAAUUCGAUGAUACGCGAGGAACCUUACCCGGGCUCAAACGGGAGUGGAAUGGACCAGAGACGGUUCAGCCUACGGGCCGCUUCCGAGGUGCUGCAUGGUUGUCGUCAGCUCGUGCCGUGAGGUGUCGGCUUAAGUGCCAUAACGAGCGCAACCCCCGCCGGCAGUUGCUAACGGGCAAUGCCGAGGACUCUGCCGGGACUGCCGCCGCAAGGCGUGAGGAAGGCGGGGAUGACGUCAAAUCAGCACGGCCCUUACGUCCGGGGCGACACACGUGUUACAAUGGGCGGUACAGCGGGAAGCCAGGCGGCGACGCCGAGCGGAACCCGAAAGCCGUUCUCAGUUCGGAUCGGAGUCUGCAACCCGACUCCGUGAAGCUGGAUUCGCUAGUAAUCGCGCAUCAGCCAUGGCGCGGUGAAUACGUUCCCGGGCCUUGUACACACCGCCCGUCAAGCCAUGGGAGCCGGGGGUGCUUGAAGUGCGUCGCCGCGAGGCGCGCCCUAGAGCAAAACCGGUGACUGGGGCU